rnacentral:misc_RNA from 1 species
GAUGAAGAACGUAGCGAAAUGCGAAAAGUAGUGUGAAUUGCAGAAUUCAGUGAAUCAUCGAAUCUUUGAACGCACAUUGCGCCCCUUGGUAUUCCAUGGGGCAUGCCUGUUCGAGCGUCAUUUGUACCUUCAAGCUUUGCUUGGUGUUGGGUGUUUGUCCUGAGGGACUCGCCUUAAAGUAAUUGGCAGCCAGUGUUUGGUUUUGAAGCGCAGCACAAGUCGCGAUUCAAGGCUAUACACCAGCUUCCACAAGCCUUUUUCACUUUUGACCUCGGAUCAGGUAGGGAUACCCGCUGAACUUAAGCAUAUCAAUAAGCGGAGGA